AAUGAACGUUGGCGGCGUGGAUUAGGCAUGCAAGUCGCGCGACAAGGAACCUUCGGGUUCUGGAGGAGCGGCAAACGGGGUAGUAAGGCAUCGGAACGUACCCUCUUGUUGGGAAUAGCCGCGGGAAACUGCGAGUAAUGCCCAAUAAUCCCUACGGGGCAAAGGUCCGCCGCAGGAGGAGCGGCCGAUGUGAUACCAGCUAGUUGGUGAGGUAAUGGCUCACCAAGGCUUAGACGUCUAGGGGGUGUGAGAGCAUGGCCCCCACCACUGGGACGUGAGAUACUGCCCAGACACCUACGGGUGGCUGCAGUCGAGAAUCUUCGGCAAUGGGCGGCAAGCCUGACCGAGCAACGCCGCGUGC
rnacentral:rRNA from 1 species